GAAAAAGACCCACAGGAUAAAGGAAGCAAUAGUCUUCUUCACCUGUCAGAAGAGAGAAAGAAAAUUCCUUUCAUGCAAUCACCAGGCUUGCGACAGUAAGGUUACAAGCAAAGCAGCCCCGAUUCCUGCUUAUCAGGCACGUGUGCUCUCUCCAGUGGGAUGCCCUGCAGUAUCGCCUCCGCUAUUACAACGGAGUGAUUUUCUUUGUUUUGUUGUAAAAUCGAGGUAAAGAACCUCAGAUCCUUGGAUUUUUUAAAUUGAAUUUACAAUUCAGUGUUGUCAUUGAAGUAAACAGGAAAGUCUGUGGGAAGGGAUAACGGCUUCGUGCUUUUGUGUGAAUCGCCCAUGCACGGUGCAUAGCGGGCCGUGCUCUGCUCUGCUCUGCUCUGCUCCGCUCCUUUCUCCAGGAGCAGCUCUCAGACUUUUUCCUCUGGACACACGUGCACCUGAGGGCCCAGCCUCCCCUUGUAAAGCCCUGAGCAGAAAAAAGUAAGUCCUCCAAGAGCAGGAGUUAUAUAACUGAAUAUCUAUAAUUAAACCGAGCUACGACACCAAUAAUCACACUGCGUGAAACAAGAACUCAAACUACAAACCCGGCAAGAAAAGCGUGGCUCGGGGGACGGGGCGGGACUCAGAACUCCGCAUCUCUGCUUCAAGUGUGGCUCUGUCAGAAACAGCCAAGGGUUACUUUUAUCUCCGGUGUACGUGAUGGCUCUUUAAUAAGCACUUUGUCCAAAUCUCACUGAGGUCAGUAAGAGCCUUUCCAUUUUCUUCAUGUCUUUGAAUGUCACUGCCGGCAGACAGGUUCGGUGCAGCCAGCUGUAUCCCAUAGCAGUUAUCUUUCCUUCUGACAGUUCUAGCAGGAAGCUUAUGAAGCCUGCCCCUCUCCUCUACAGGAUGACUUAUACAAUCACAGCUCACGUAGCAAUGGAUGUUAUAACUUAACGUGGGGAUCAUUUUUAUUCCAUUCUCAUGAAGAAAAGUUUCCAGCUAUGCACAGCCUCCAAACAAAGCUACAGCCCAUUGCUGUGUUCACCAAACACUGUCCAAUAUUUGCAAGCUCUGCAUUUUGCGCAGUUGGAGUCUGAGCAGAUGGGUGCUUAAUAAUGAAGGAAACACAUUCAUAUCUGGCUGUGCAUAUCUGGACCGUGCUGCUCUUCCUCACGCUGCCAGUCAGGAUGUUCCAGCAGCAGUGAGAGGGAAGGAUGCAGGAUCAGUGCAACUUCUGACCCUCCUCUGCAGCACCACCUGCUUCUAGAUGAAAGCACUAAAUAAGUAACAUCUCAUCUGGGGGACAUGAUAAACUUAUUCUGACUGACUUAUUUCUGGGUCCAAACUUCAAAGGGUCAAGUUGCUAAAAUUCUUCCUUCCCCAGCACUGAGAGCUGUGGUAACUAAUUGCUUCCAUUUCAGAAGCAUUUCCAUUUUCCGGCACCAUACACAGCCACAGAAAAUUGCUGCUCGCCCAGCUGCAAACAUCUGAGAGGCAGACAGCACCUCGGGGAUGGAAGGCUGGAAAGCAAAGUACAGCUCUGUGUCACUGACAUGUUGACAUGUGAAAGUUCACACCGUGAUAACAAUCCAGGUCUCCUGGUAGCAUCAUCCUGGUAGUUCAGGUAAAGAAAAGUCCCACAUAAAAGGUGCACCUGAGGUAUGCAAAAGGUUCUUUGGAGCAGAUGAAAAUAUUCCUGGAUGCAAACCUAAUGGAGGCGAGCAAGCAGGACCACAUUUGGAAAAGGGCAGUAACCACUGUGCCACACAGUCUCAGCAACCCAAGAGGGUUUCUGAUCCAUGAGGUCAAAUGCAACAGGUACAUUUAGAGUAGAAAAAUAGAUAAAAAGUAAAAGUGAGUUCAAAUUGCAUUUGAAUUCAAACACCCAACAGCUGCUGAAUUUCAAUGAGCUUUAUAGACUGCUGCCUUCAGACUCCUUUGAAAUCCUCGUGGGUAACUAUCCCCAAAAAUAUGCUCAGACACGAGUACCUUGCUCACCGGGGUAUCUGUGAAUGGGAUCUGUUCAGCUCUGUGCAUCUGUUUGUGGCCACAUGUCCAGUGGCAAAAAAAGUUCAGAACAGAAGUAUGCAACCACAGAGAUGUCCUAUCUGGAAGCAGUAUAACACUGUCACAUGGAUGUUUUCUUUAAAUACCUCCAAGAUUUUCUAUCCUACUCCCCACGGGUAUACCAGCACAGGGCAUGGUGUGCUUAUUUUAAGGUGUUGUUCAUAUAAGGAUGAUAGGGAUGUGAUAAGUGUAAGAUUAAAUAACAUUGCAAAAC
ensembl:lncRNA